rnacentral:rRNA from 1 species
CGGGUGAGUAACGCGUGAGGAACCUGCCUCAAAGAGGGGGACAACAGUUGGAAACGACUGCUAAUACCGCAUAAGCCCACAGCUCGGCAUCGAGUAGAGGGAAAAGGAGUGAUCCGCUUUGAGAUGGCCUCGCGUCCGAUUAGCUAGUUGGUGAGGUAAUGGCCCACCAAGGCGACGAUCGGUAGCCGGACUGAGAGGUUGAACGGCCACAUUGGGACUGAGACACGGCCCAG